rnacentral:rRNA from 1 species
UGGUCAAGUUAUUAAGGGUGCAGGGCGGAUGCCUUGGCACUAGGAGCCGAUGAAGGACGUGAUAAGCUGCGAUAAGCUUCGGGGAGUUGCACGUAAACUUUGAUCCGAAGAUUUCCGAAUGAGGAAACUCACUUAGAGUAAUGUCUAAGUAUCAUUAAGUGAAUACAUAGCUUAAUGAGGGGAACUCAGGGAACUGAAACAUCUAAGUACCUGAAGGAAGAGAAAGAAAUUCGAUUCCGUAAGUAGCGGCGAGCGAACGCGGAUUAGCCCAAACCAAUAAAGUUUUCUUUAUUGGGGUUGCGGACAUAUCAUAACGAAGAGGUAUCGUAAUUGAAGAGGUUUGGAAAGACCCACCACAGAAGGUAAUAGUCCUGUAUGUUAAACGAGAAGACUUUAGAUAUGAUCCAGAGUACCACGGGACACGUGAAACCCUGUGGGAAGCAGGGAGGGACCACCCUCCAAGGCUAAAUACUACCUAGUGACCGAUAGCGUAUAGUACCGUGAGGGAAAGGUGAAAAGAACCCCGGGAGGGGGAGUGAAAUAGAACCUGAAACCCUGCACUUACAAGCUGUGGAAGCACAUUUCUUGUGUGACCGCGUACUUUUUUGUAGAACGGGCCAACGAGUUACGUUAAGUAGCAAGGUUAAGCACUUAAGGUGCGGAGCCGUAGCGAAAGCGAGUUUUAACUGAGCGUUCAGUUACUUGACGUAGACCCGAAACCGGGCGACCUACCCAUGAGCAGGAUGAAGCGAAAGUAAAAUUUCGUGGAGGUCCGAACCCACGAGCGUUGAAAAGCUCGGGGAUGACUUGUGGGUAGCGGUGAAAUUCCAAUCGAGCCCGGAGAUAGCUGGUUCUCCCCGAAAUAGCUUUAGGGCUAGCCUCAAGGUGAGAGAUACGGAGGUAGAGCACUGAAUGUCCUAGGGGGUAUUGCACCUACCGAAGACUAUCAAACUCCGAAUGCCGUCAUCUUAUACUUGGGAGUCAGACUGUGGGUGAUAAGAUUCAUAGUCGAAAGGGCAACAGCCCAGAUCGUCAGCUAAGGUCCCUAAAUGUAAGUUAAGUGGUAAAGGAUGUGGGAUUGCACAGACAACCAGGAUGUUGGCUUAGAAGCAGCCACUCAUUCAAAGAGUGCGUAAUAGCUCACUGGUCGAGUGAUCCUGCGCCGAAGAUUUCCGGGGCUAAAACUUACUACCGAAGCUACGGCAUCAGUAAUGAUGGGUAGGGGAGCUUCCCAUACGGGUUGAAGCAUGACCGUAAGGACAUGUGGACAGUAUGGGAGUGAGAAUGUUGGCAUGAGUAGCGAGAUGUGGGUGAGAAUCCCACAGGCCGUAAACCCAAGGUUUCCAGGGGGAAGGUUCGUCCGCCCUGGGUUAGUCGGGACCUAAGCUGAGGCCGAAAGGCGUAGGUGAUGGACAACAGGUUGAUAUUCCUGUACUACCGAUAACCGUUUGAGAGAUGGGAUGACACAGUAGGAUAAGCUAAGCACACUGUUGGUUAUGUGUGCCCAAGCAUUGAGGCAGUCAAAGUAGGCAAAUCCGCUUUGAUAAUGCUGGGAUGUGAUGGGGAGCGAAAUUUAGUAGCGAAGUAGCUGAUUUCACACUGUCAAGAAAAGUCUCUAUCGAGGUUAAAGGUACCCGUACCGCAAACCGACACAGGUGGGUGAGGAGAGUAUCCUAAGGCUAGCGAGAGAACUGUUGUUAAGGAACUCGGCAAAAUGACCCCGUAACUUAGGGAUAAGGGGUGCCACCAUCAGGUGGCCGCAGAGAAUAGGCCCAAGCGACUGUUUACCAAAAACAUAGGUUUCUGCUAAGUCGCAAGACGAUGUAUAGGAGCUGACGCCUGCCCGGUGCUGGAAGGUUAAGGGGAUCUGUUAGAGCAAUCGAAGCAGUGAACUUAAGCCCCAGUAAACGGCGGCCGUAACUAUAACGGUCCUAAGGUAGCGAAAUUCCUUGUCGGGUAAGUUCCGACCCGCACGAAAGGCGUAACGAUUUGGGCACUGUCUCAACAACAGACUCGGUGAAAUUGUAAUUCCGGUGAAGAUGCCGGAUACCUGCGACAGGACGGAAAGACCCCAUGGAGCUUUACUGUAGCUUGACAUUGGGUCUUGGUACUACAUGUACAGGAUAGGUGGGAGGCUUUGAAACCAGGACGCCAGUUUUGGCGGAGCCAUCCUUGGGAUACCACCCUUGUAGUACUGGGACUCUAACCAUAGGCCAUGAAUCUGGUCUUGGGACACUGUCAGGUGGGCAGUUUGACUGGGGCGGUCGCCUCCCAAAAGGUAACGGAGGCGCUCAAAGGUUCUCUCAGUACGGUCGGAAAUCGUACGUAGAGUGUAAAGGCAAAAGAGAGCUUGAUUGCAAGACAUACAGGUCGAGCAAGGAUGAAAAUCGGACUUAGUGAUCCGGUGGUUCUGCGUGGAAGGGCCAUCGCUCAACGGAUAAAAGCUACCCUGGGGAUAACAGGCUUAUCUCCCCCAAGAGUCCACAUCGACGGGGAGGUUUGGCACCUCGAUGUCGGCUCAUCACAUCCUGGGGCUGUAGUAGGUCCCAAGGGUUGGGCUGUUCGCCCAUUAAAGUGGUACGCGAGCUGGGUUCAGAACGUCGUGAGACAGUUCGGUCCCUAUCCGUCGCAGGCGUAGGAAAUUUGAGAAGACCUGUCCUUAGUACGAGAGGACCGGGAUGGACGUACCUCUGGUGUACCAGUUGUUCUGCCAAGGGCAUGGCUGGGUAGCUAUGUACGGAAUGGAUAAGCGCUGAAAGCAUCUAAGCGCGAAGCCAACUUCAAGAUAAGAUUUCCCACCGCAAGGGUAAGACCCCAGAAAGACUAUCUGGUUGAUAGGUCGAAGGUGUAAGUGCAGCAAUGUAUUUAGCUUAUCGAUACUAAUAGGUCGAGGACUUGACCAAU